rnacentral:rRNA from 1 species
ACUCCUGCGGGAGGCAGCAGUGGGGAAUAUUGCACAAUGGGCGCAAGCCUGAUGCAGCCAUGCCGCGUGUAUGAAGAAGGCCUUCGGGUUGUAAAGUACUUUCAGCGGGGAGGAAGGCGAUAAGGUUAAUAACCUUGUUGAUUGACGUUACCCGCAGAAGAAGCACCGGCUAACUCCGUGCCAGCAGCCGCGGUAAUACGGAGGGUGCAAGCGUUAAUCGGAAUUACUGGGCGUAAAGCGCACGCAGGCGGUCUGUCAAGUCGGAUGUGAAAUCCCCGGGCUCAACCUGGGAACUGCAUUCGAAACUGGCAGGCUAGAGUCUUGUAGAGGGGGGUAGAAUUCCAGGUGUAGCGGUGAAAUGCGUAGAGAUCUGGAGGAAUACCGGUGGCGAAGGCGGCCCCCUGGACAAAGACUGACGCUCAGGUGCGAAAGCGUGGGGAGCAAACAGGAUUAGAAACCCUAGUAGUCCCAUG